AGCUCCAGUAGCGUAUAUUAAAGUUGUUGCAGUUAAAAAGCUCGUAGUUGGAUUUCUGGUUUGAUAUGCCUGGCCCGCCACGGUUACGUGUGUGAGUGCCGGUGCGUGUCUGCCAUCCUUCUGGAAAACGCGUCUACCCUUCACUGGGCCGGACGUGCGAUCCAGAUCAUUUACUUUGAAAAAAUUAGAGUGUUUAAAGCAGGCUUUUUGCUAUGAAUACAUUAGCAUGGAAUAAUAAUUUAGGACUUUGGCCCUAUUUUGUUGGUUUCUAGGACUGAAGUAAUGAUUGAUAGGGAUAGUUGGGGGUGCUCGAAUUCAGCGGCCAGAGGUGAAAUUCUUGGAUUCGCUGAAGACGAACUCAUGCGAAAGCAUUCACCAAGGAUGUCUUCU
rnacentral:rRNA from 1 species